UCCGUAGGCGGUGCGGCAAGUCGGAAGUGAAAUCUCAGGGCUUAACCCUGAGGCUGCUUCCGAAACUGCCGUGCUCGAGUGCGAGAGAGGCGAGUGGAAUUGCAGGUGUAGCGGUGAAAUGCGUAGAUAUCUGCAGGAACAUCCGAGGCGAAAGCGGCUCGCUGGAUCGCAACUGACGCUGAGGGACGAAAGCUAGGGGAGCAAACAGGAUUAGAUACCCUGGUAGUCCUAGCCCUAAACGAUCAGGACUGGGCGUGGGCCUCGUACGGGGCUCGUGCCGCAGCUAACGCGUUAAGUCCUGCGCCUGGGGAGUACGGUCGCAAGGCUGAA
rnacentral:rRNA from 1 species